rnacentral:rRNA from 1 species
ACUACAAGUGAAAAACUUGAAACUCAAAGGACUUGACGGUGUCCCAUAUCGACCUAGAGGAGCCUGUCCUAUAAUCGAUACCCCCCGCUCCACCCAACCCCAACUAGCAUACGUCAGCCUAUAUACCGCCGUCGAUCAGCCUACCCUAUGAAAGUCCAACAGUAGACACAAUAGCCCCACCGCUAAUACGUCAGGUCAAGGUGUAGCAAAUGUUGUGGAAGAGAUUGGCUACAUUUUUUAUUAUAAAAAAUACGAAAUAUACCAUGAAACAGUAUAUGAAGGUGAAUUUAGUAGUAAAAUAAACAAGAGUGUUUAUUUUAACAACGCUCUGGGACGCGUACACACCGCC